UUACUACUCCCUCGGCUCUGAAUUACUCGUCGCAGAAAUGAAUGUAUCUAGAUGUAUUUUAGUUCUAGAUACAUCCAUUUCUGCGAUGAGUAAUUUGGAACGGAGGGAGUACUUG
rfam:Triticum aestivum genome assembly, contig: Triticum_aestivum_CS42_TGACv1_scaffold_290009_4AL